CAGCCGCCGCGGUAAUACGAAGGGUGCAAGCGUUAAUCGGAAUUACUGGGCGUAAAGCGUGCGUAGGCGGUGAGUUAAGACUGCCGUGAAAUCCCCGGGCUCAACCUGGGAAUGGCAGUGGAUACUGGCUCGCUAGAGUGUGUCAGAGGAUGGUGGAAUUCCCGGUGUAGCGGUGAAAUGCGUAGAGAUCGGGAGGAACAUCAGUGGCGAAGGCGGCCAUCUGGGACAACACUGACGCUGAGGCACGAAAGCGUGGGGAGCAAACAGGAUUAGAUACCCGCGUAGUCCCUGUCUCUUAUAA
rnacentral:rRNA from 1 species